rnacentral:rRNA from 1 species
CGGCGGACGGGUGAGUAACGCGUGGGUAACCUGCCUCAUACGAGGGGGAUAACAGUUAGAAAUGACUGCUAAUACCGCAUAAGCGCACGGGACUGCAUGGUCCAGUGUGAAAAACCGAGGUGGUAUGAGAUGGACCCGCGUCUGAUUAGCUGGUUGGCGGGGUAACGGCCCACCAAGGCGACGAUCAGUAGCCGACCUGAGAGGGUGACCGGCCACAUUGGGACUGAGACACGGCCCAAACUCCUACGGGAGGCAGCAG